UACGGGGGGUGCAAGCGUUGUUCGGAAUUAUUGGGCGUAAAGAGCGUGUAGGCGGCUUGGUAAGUCAGAUGUGAAAGCCCUGGGCUUAACCCAGGAAGUGCAUUUGAAACUGCCAGGCUUGAGUAGGGGAGAGGGAAGUGGAAUUCCUGGUGUAGAGGUGAAAUUCGUAGAUAUCAGGAGGAACACCGGUGGCGAAGGCGACUUCCUGGCCCUAUACUGACGCUGAGACGCGAGAGCGUGGGUAGCAAACAGGAUUAGAUACCCUGGUAGUCCACGCCGUAAACGAUGUUCACUAGGUGUUGGGGGUAUUGACCCUCUCAGUGCCGGAGCUAACGCAUUAAGUGAACCGCCUGGGGAGUACGGUCGCAAGACUAAA
rnacentral:rRNA from 1 species